rnacentral:tRNA from 1 species
GUCGGGGUGGCGGAAUAGGCAGACGCGCACGUUUGAGGGGCGUGUGGUAAAUACCGUGGGGGUUCAAGUCCCCCUCCCGACACCA